rnacentral:rRNA from 1 species
GACGAACGCUGGCGGCGUGCUUAACACAUGCAAGUCGAACGGAAAGGCCCUGCUUUUGUGGGGUGCUCGAGUGGCGAACGGGUGAGUAACACGUGAGUAACCUGCCCUUGACUUUGGGAUAACUUCAGGAAACUGGGGCUAAUACCGGAUAGGAGCUCCUGCUGCAUGGUGGGGGUUGGAAAGUUUCGGCGGUUGGGGAUGGACUCGCGGCUUAUCAGCUUGUUGGUGGGGUAGUGGCUUACCAAGGCUUUGACGGGUAGCCGGCCUGAGAGGGUGACCGGCCACAUUGGGACUGAGAUACGGCCCAGACUCCUACGGGAGGCAGCAGUGGGGAAUAUUGCACAAUGGGCGGAAGCCUGAUGCAGCAACGCCGCGUGCGGGAUGACGUCCUUCGGGUUGUAAACCGCUUUCGCCUGUGACGAAGCGUGAGUGACGGUACUGGGUAAAGAAGCACCGGCUAACUACGUG